rnacentral:rRNA from 1 species
AUGAUGCUCGACAAGGGCUCCCUGGACCUGGUGCUGGUGCCGUGCGGCCUGGUCAUCAUGUUCGGCUACCACCUCAUCCUCCUCUACCGGAUCCUCCGGCAUCCGGCCGCCACCGUCAUCGGCUACGAGAAUCACAACAAGCUGGCGUGGGUCCGUCGCAUGUCCCAGGUAACUGCAGCGGUUCCUUCCCUUGCAGGAACCAUGAGGACUUUCCUUCAUCUGCUCUCCUGUUCUUGGCAGGCGGCUCCGGAGGAGACCGGGCUGGCGCUGAGCGUGAUCUCCAGCAGUAUCGCGGCGUCGACGAACCUGGCCUCGCUGUCCAUCGCGCUGGGCUCGCUCAUCGGCGCCUGGGUCAGCAGCACAAGCAAGGUGUUCAUGACGGAGCUCGUCUACGGCGACAACAGCCAGGCGACGGCGGCGGUCAAGUACAUCUCCCUCCUCGUCUGCUUUCUGGUGUCCUUCACUUGCUUCAUCCACUCCGCGAGGUACUAUGUCCAAGCCAGCUUCCUGGUGACCACGCUGGACUCGGACGUCCCGGCGAGCUACAUGCAGCAUGCGGUGAUCCGGGGCGGCAACUUCUGGUCCAUGGGGCUCCGAGCACUCUACUUCGCAACGACGCUGCUGAUGUGGAUAUUCGGGCCGAUACCGAUGUUUGUCUGCUCAGUGUUCAUGGUGUUCAUCCUACACAUGCUGGACAGCAACUCCCUGCCCCUGCACCAGUACCAGUUCACAGUCAGGAAACGGCCUGAUCAGGGGGCUCUGGCUUCUAUUCUAGCUACAAGCCAACCAAGUCCUCGAAAUGCGAUUAUCAACAACCCGAUAUUAUCGCCUGUAACAUUCUUCAGUUGA